AUACGUAGGGUGCGAGCGUUGUCCGGAUUUACUGGGUGUAAAGGGCGUGUAGGCGGAGAUGCAAGUCAGGAGUGAAAUCUAGGGGCUCAACCCCUAAACUGCUUUUGAAACUGUAUCCCUUGAGUAUCGGAGAGGCAGGCGGAAUUCCUAGUGUAGCGGUGAAAUGCGUAGAUAUUAGGAGGAACACCAGUGGCGAAGGCGGCCUGCUGGACGACAACUGACGCUGAGGCGCGAAAGCGUGGGGAGCAAACAGGAUUAGAUACCCUGGUAGUCCACGCUGUAAACGAUGAAUACUAGGUGUGGGGGGACUGACCCCCUCCGUGCCGCAGUUAACACAAUAAGUAUUCCACCUGGGGAGUACGAUCGCAAGAUUGAAACUCAAAGGAAUUGACGGGG
rnacentral:rRNA from 1 species